GUAUGUGGUGGUUCAGUGAUAGAAUGCUCGCCUGCCACACGGGUGACCCAGGUUUGAUUCCCUGCCAAUGCA